UUUUUCACUCUGUCUCGCAGAGGUUACUUUCUGCUUGUUCAUUUUACUGGUUAAUGGCUGUUGCUGUGGCUUUCACACUUUGUCAUGAACUGGGAGCCACUUGCCCCGGUGAGGGUACCAGGAGCUUCCAGCCUCAGCAUCCCCAGAGAGUGCAAGCAAGCAGGAGUGAAGUCUCUGUCGGCAGUGUCAAGGAGCAAAAAAUGCAGUAAUGAUAAGUCACAGCAGCAUACAGCCGUGGAAGAGGGCUUUAGGAGACAGAACCAGCUGCUGAAACAUAACUGCAAGGGGCUUGACAGAAAUACUUUGCAGCUUCUGGGAUCACAUUUCGGGAUUAUUGCCUGUGCCUGGAGUUUUAUUUUUAUUUUUAUUUUUUGUUUACCUUUAAUUAUAAAAGCAGAAUGUUGACUUACCCAGAUGUAACACCCACCCCCACGGUUAAGUCAGUAAUUCAAGUUUCUAAUCAUCUGUCCACCCAGUAUGGGACACUGGUUAUCCAGAAGCAGCCUGAGACUUUGCAUAUACGUCAGUCACCAAGUUCACAGCAAAGAGGAUGCAACUUCAGGCAACUCUCCCUGGUCAUGGGAGCCUUCACCUGUGGCUGAGGCCACUCUUACAUGACAAGCUUCCAGCUUCUGAUGAGUGAGAAAGGAAUCCCAUCCAUCAAGAACAACCUCCUGUACAGUAUAGCCCUGAUUUGCUCCAUGGUUUUGUCAAUCCUGUGCCCUGCAAGCUGGGGGAAAGAAUAUAAUGCAUCAUGUAUUUAAAAAAAUGUAUCAUAAUGUGCCUGAA